AACAAACAAACAAAAGAAAAACAAAGAGGAGUUGGUUUUUUUGUUUCUCUUCAAGUUUUUGUUUCGUUUUGUUUUGUUUUUUUCUCGUUUCUUU
rnacentral:ribozyme from 1 species